ensembl:snRNA U6 U6 spliceosomal RNA
GGUUGCAGAGGAGAGUCAGGCAUGCUUUCUAUCUUCAGGGAACUCAACCAUACACUAAAAUUGGAGCAGUAGAGAGGAGAUUAGCAUAGUGCCUGUGUAAGGAUGAUAUACAAAUUGGUGAACCCUCCCAGAAUCUA